rnacentral:tRNA from 1 species
UCCCUGCUGGCUCAGAUGGUAAAGAAUAUGUCUGCAAUGCAGGAAACCCAGGUUCGAUCCCUGGGUUGGGAA